AUUCUGAUAUAGAUUGAUACUGUGUCUACUGGGGGUUUGUAUUGUUUGUCAAGUCACAGCAAGGACCUCAGACAGACAGUACUUUAUGCGAUAUGCGUGCAGUUUUAAGUAAUGCCGACUUUUGCAAUACCUCUAGAUUGUAGGGUAUCUCUAAGGUUUUCAGAUGUUUUUUCAGAUUGGGUGGUAUUGAACCCAAUACUCCGAUGACAAUAGGGAUAACCUUUAUGUUCGUCUCUCGUAGCUGUCACAUUUUAGUGAUCUCACUUCUCAGGUCUCCAUAUUUAUCAACCUUUUCUU